rnacentral:rRNA from 1 species
ACGGAGGGUGCAAGCGUUAAUCGGAAUUACUGGGCGUAAAGCGCGCGUAGGCGGAUAAUUAAGUCUCAUGUGAAAGCCCUGGGCUCAACCUGGGAACUGCAUGGGAUACUGGUUAUCUAGAAUACAGUAGAGGGAGGUGGAAUUUCAGGUGUAGCGGUGAAAUGCGUAGAGAUCUGAAGGAACAUCAGUGGCGAAGGCGACCUCCUGGACUGAUAUUGACGCUGAGGUGCGAAAGCGUGGGGAGCAAACAGG